CUUAUUUCACUUUUCUUCCAACAAUUUACGAAGGGCGUUUGAUGCGAAGAGUUUGAAGGUCAACAAAAUAAAUGACCCGAUGAAAGAAAAAAUAGCUCCUCACAAACCGAUAAACAUAAACUUCCCAUAUCGCCCAAGCGCAGCAAAAACGAAACCUGCAACGUGAUUGGCCUUCCCAUAUGCUCAUUAAAACAUUUAGGUAAUUAUUGUAAGGUCUCUUGACGAGGAUUUACUAUAAAAUAUACACAAACAUUGAAGAUUAUGCGUUACAUUUCUUCCACCCACGGAAAGCUUCGUCAUUGGCGUCUAUGUGUAUGAAUGAUAGGGCAAAGAUUGCUAUCAUUAUAUCAAAAAAUAUUUUCGCGCAACUUGCUGGUAUGGACGCAUGUAUGGGAAAAAGAAAUCAAAAACGAAACUCGAAGGCCAGCUGGAAAACAAAUAAAACAUUUAUUCAAUGUUGCUCAUAGCAACGAAACAAGUAAAAAUUCAGGUUAUUUACAUGGAAAAUGAUCGAAAACGUAAUGCACUUAAAA